UACGUAGGGGGCAAGCGUUGUCCGGAAUCAUUGGGCGUAAAGCGCGUGUAGGCGGUUCGGUAAGUCCGCUGUGAAAGUCGGGGGCUCAACCCUCGGAUGCCGGUGGAUACUGUCGGGCUUGAGUACGGAAGAGGCGAGUGGAAUUCCUGGUGUAGCGGUGAAAUGCGCAGAUAUCAGGAGGAACACCAAUUGCGAAGGCAGCUCGCUGGGACGUUACUGACGCUGAGACGCGAAAGCGUGGGGAGCAAACAGG
rnacentral:rRNA from 1 species